GUGGUCACUUUGGCAGCAGAUAUACUGAAAUUGGAAAAAUACAGAGAAGAUUAGCAUGGUGCCUGCACAAGGAUGACAUACAAAUUCCUAUAGCAUUCCAUAUUUUG
rnacentral:snRNA from 1 species